CUCGGACAGCUGGGUCCCGGCUGUGGCAGGUGCAGCAGGUGCUGCAGCUGCUGUCGUCAUCAUCGCCAUAGCAACCGUCACGUGCCUGCGCCGUGUCAACCGCAAGAGAGGGCUCAAAGACGUUGAAGGGCGCAACAAUCUUGCUUUCGUGGGCACCACGGGCAAACCGGUGGAGACUGGCAACAGCGCCCCCUGUCGGGACUGUGACAGCAGCUUCUAAACACCGAGUUUACGGUUUUAUCAUUUUUGCCGCAGCCAAGUUAUGACUUUGCGAUUGCUUGUUUGCUUGCAUACUUGUUUGUUUGAUUGUUUGUUCGUUUGUUUAUGGACAAAGUAGUAUAUCAAAUAUCGCUUUUAAUAAUCAUUUUGCAUGUAGAAAAGGGCUGUCCCAACGUUUGGACAUUAUAUUUUGAGCCCAUUUCAGUUCGUUUAUCUUUUAAGAUGUAGAUGAGAUGUUGGACAAACACUGGAGAGAGACAGGGUGCGAGACCAAAGCGAAGGUUCCGAUGUGUUCAAUUCUAUCAUUUCGAUGUUGGGUGAUGCUAGGUUGUCAAGUCGAAUCUCAAGAAAGCUCAAGAAUUAUAUCUAAAUGUACAAUAUUCCGGUUUUCCAUUGCUUUUAGAAUUUAAAAUCUGUAACUUCCAAUGUGAUAGAAAUCAUACAUACCUAAAUUUUCCGUGAGCAAAGGAAUAGAUGCACUGUUAAUGUGACAUCAUGUUAUUGCACCUAUGGACAAGUUACUUUUGAAGUGUAUCAAAUGUACCGUAUAGCUUGUGGCGUCCCCCGUCACUUCUCAAUGACAUUGCGCUGGAAGCUACUAUGAAAGAUAAGUUUCAUAAUGAGUUCACACCAGAUGGACUUUCGUUUGAAAAUCAAAGGUUGGCACAAAGAAAGUGAAAAUUCAACCAAAAUAUGUAAACCGGGAACAGGCAGAGUUGCUGUUGUUGUUGUUUGUCCAGCAUCGAAUUAAGAAUGUGCGAUUUAUAAAGUUUUCAGUGUAUUGAUGUGUAUCAAUCCGUUGUGCGUUUAUAUCGAAUAUAUCUUAAAAUUUCUGUUCUUAAGAGACCUGUAGUUGGUACUGACUAGCUUUAGUGAAAUCUCACAUGUUGAUCUUGUCUAGCAUUUUGACAUGCUUUGAGAGUUUGACCUUUAAGAUAUUUGUAUGAGACUGGAGUUGUUGAUUAUUGUCAGGUAAAAUAUGCACUAAGAAUGCUGAACAUGCACGAUUCUUCAAGUCCAUUGACAGUUCCGGGAAUUUUCAACAUGUUGUUAGAUUUGUUUCGUUUGAAUGUUUUCACGAAAGCCUGAAAUUUCAACAGGGAGAAUCUACACUCUUUGUUGUGUACAAGGAAAUUCAACAUCUUAUACUGACUACCCUUUCGAAUCACCACCCUACUGUUCAGUGCAUCACGUUAUAUAUUUGUAACGUAUCUACAGCACAUUGCGUUGUGUACCGAAGCCUACCAUUACGAGACCAGGUGCAGGAAUGUUGAAUGUUGUAAACAGUACAGAACUUCAGCUCUUAUCAAAACAAACCAUGUAGUUGUCUUACUUGUUUUUUUCAUUAAAUACUUUCCGUGUG